AACGGGUGAGUAAUAUAUCGGAACGUGCCCAGUCGUGGGGGAUAACGUAGAGAAAUUUACGCUAAUACCGCAUACGAUCUAAGGAUGAAAGCGGGGGACCGUAAGGCCUCGCGCGAUUGGAGCGGCUGAUAUCAGAUUAGGUUGUUGGUGAGGUAAAAGCUCACCAAGCCGACGAUCUGUAGCUGGUUUGAGAGAACGACCAGCCACACUGGGACUGAGACACGGCCCAGACUCCUACGGGAGGCAGCAGUGGGGAAUUUUGGACAAUGGGCGAAAGCCUGAUCCAGCAAUGCCGCGUGCAGGAAGAAGGCCUUCGGGUUGUAAACUGCUUUUGUACGGAACGAAAAGGUCUGCCCUAAUACGGCGGGCCCAUGACGGUACCGUAAGAAUAAGCACCGGCUAACUACGUGCCAGCAGCCGCGGUAAUACGUAGGGUGCGAGCGUUAAUCGGAAUUACUGGGCGUAAAGCGUGCGCAGGCGGUGAUGUAAGACAGUUGUGAAAUCCCCGGGCUCAACCUGGGAAUUGCAUCUGUGACUGCAUCGCUAGAGUACGGUAGAGGGGGAUGGAAUUCCGCGUGUAGCAGUGAAAUGCGUAGAUAUGCGGAGG
rnacentral:rRNA from 1 species